rnacentral:rRNA from 1 species
UACGAAGGGGGCUAGCGUUGCUCGGAAUUACUGGGCGUAAAGGGCGCGUAGGCGGCACUGUUAGUCAGGCGUGAAAUUCCUGGGCUCAACCUGGGGACUGCGCUUGAUACGGCAGAGCUAGAGGAUGGAAGAGGCUCGCGGAAUUCCCAAUGUAGAGGUGAAAUUCGUAGAUAUUGGGAAGAACACCGGUGGCGAAGGCGGCUCACUGGACCGGUACUGACGCUGAUGCGCGAAAGCGUGGGUAGCAAACAGG